GCGUGGAUGAUGUGGUUUAAUUCGAUGCAACGCGAAAACCUUACCACCUUUGACAUGUACGGAAGCCUUUAGAGAUAGAGGCGUGCUCGAAAGAGAGCCGUAACACAGGUGCUGCAUGGCUGUCGUCAGCUCGUGUCGUGAGAUGUUGGUUAAGUCCCGCAACGAGCGCAACCCUUGUCAUUAGUUGCUACAUUCAGUUGGGCACUCUAAUGAGACUGCCGGUGACAAGCCGGAGGAAGUGGGGAUGACGUCAAGUCCUCAUGGCCCUUAUAGGUGGGGCUACACACGUCAUACAAUGGCUGGUACAAAGGGUUGCCAACCCGCGAGGGGGAGCUAAUCCCAUAAAGCCAGUCGUAGUCCGGAUCGUAGUCUGCAACUCGACUACGUGAAGUCGGAAUCGCUAGUAAUCGUGGAUCAGAAUGUCACGGUGAAUACGUUCCCGGGUCUU
rnacentral:rRNA from 1 species